CCUGUACCUUGAUUGGGCUGCCUGCUCUUCUUACAGAAGGGCAAAACCGUGGGGCUUACAGGACUUUACCUCAAGGCACACCAGGAGAACCCACCGGUUUUAGAGCAGAAUGCUCAGUUUGUAAAAAGGCUGUCCACAAACUUCCUUUGUCUGUGGUUCUGGGAACUUUAGGUCUGAUGGAACCAGAGGCAAGUGAGUCAGGUAAGCAGCAGGGGAACUGUGGCUGGUGAAGGGGGACCUGGUGUGACAGCAGCUACAAAUCCAGCUGAACGCUCCAUGCAGCAAAGCGGUGGCCUCAGGGAUGCAGGCACAGAAAACAGGAGUCUGAGAUCUUCUCCCACCUGCCCAUGUGGGUGACAGCUGAGGGACCUGGACAAACGUGAGACCACAUCAUGGAGGGCCCUGGAGCCUCCCAGCUGAGCCCUCCCGAGUCCUCCACUGCUUGCCAUGGUUCAUCUACUGACUACUGAGCUAUUGAUGCACUUCAGGGGUCAGUGGAGCCCAGCAACCCUGCUGCUAACAGGGCGAAGCAAGCCCAAUUUCAUGCCUACGUGGGCUUCCCUCUAAGAAGGCAAGGAGAGAGAGUAAACCUGCGCAUUAAAAUUUCUUUGGAAAACAGAAACCUCUGGAAGUAGGGGCCUUAAACAGAAUUGCUGGGUAGCAGCAGAGGGGGCAGCUGGUUCACAUGAGAUGAAUCAGAGCUUCGAGGAAGAAGGAAGUUGGUGAAGGAGGCUGAUGGUACCGUGUGGUGGUUGCCUGUUUAUCUCUCUUGGGAUGUUUGCACACAGAUGAAUGUCUGAGAGAACCACCAACCUCACUACUGUUGUUGACUGACUGGACAAACUUGGAAAGGCAAAUAUUUACUGCGUUGGCCAUUUGUUUCUGAUGUAUUUCAAACAGCAAUCAGUGGGCGGAGGAAUUUGAGCUUAAAUGAAGGUAAGAAAAGCACAUGGGAAAACCAAGACACAGGAAUAUCAAGUUCAAAGGCUGACAUUGGGGGAGCUGCAGAGACAGCUUAGCAUUAGCUGAGCCUCUUGCAGAGGACCUGGGUUCAGUUCCCAGCAACCACAGGACAGC